AAUUUUGCGCAAUGGGCGAAAGCCUGACGCAGCAACGCCGCGUGAAUGUUAAGCCCCUCGGGGUGUAAAGUUCUGUCAGUGGGGACGAAACUUGACGGUACCCACAGAGGAAGCACCGGCUAACUCCGUGCCAGCAGCCGCGGUAAUACGGAGGGUGCAAGCGUUGUCCGGAAUCAUUGGGCGUAAAGAGUUCGUAGGCGGUAUGUUAAGUCUGGUGUUAAAUCCCGAAGCUCAACUUCGGUUCGGCAUCGGAUACUGGCAAACUUGAAUGCGGUAGAGGUAAGGGGAAUUCCUGGUGUAGCGGUGAAAUGCGUAGAUAUCAGGAGGAACAUCAGUGGCGAAAGCGCCUUACCGGACCGUUAUUGACGCUGAGGAACGAAAGCCGGGGUAGCAAAUGGG
rnacentral:rRNA from 1 species